rnacentral:misc_RNA from 1 species
GAUGAAGAACGCAGCGAAAUGCGAUAAGUAAUGUGAAUUGCAGAAUUCAGUGAAUCAUCGAAUCUUUGAACGCACCUUGCGCCCUUUGGCCAUUCCGAAGGGCAUGCCUGUUUGAGUAUCAUGAACACCUCAACUCUCAUGGCUUGCCAUGAUGAGCUUGGACUUUGGGGGUCUUGCUGGCCUGCGGCCAGCUCCUCUCAAAUGAAUUAGCUUUCCAGUGUUUGGUUGGCAUCACAGGUGUGAUAACUAUCUACGCUUGUGGUUUCCACCAGGUAACCUUCAGUAACAUGGGGGUUUGCUGGAGCUCAUAAAUGUCUCUCCUCAGUGGGGACAGCUCUUUGAACGUUUGAUCUCAAAUCAGGUAGGACUACCCGCUGAACUUAAGCAUAUCAAUAAGCGGAGGA